rnacentral:lncRNA from 1 species
ACAACCCUAGAACAAAGGUCUUCAGUUACUAAUGCCUAAGAAGAGAAAAAAUAAGAAAAGAAUCCUAAAAAAGUAUCGACAACGUAUCCUUCCAAAGUCUCCGUAUAUCCUCCAAUAAUUAUUCUUAUGGACUAUUUAUAAAUGUAGAAAACCCUAAAAAAAAAUAGUAGAGUCCAAACAAAUUGGGAAAGCAAAACCUACACGAAAUUGGAGGUGCCUUCAUUCAGUGCCAUGUGGCAACAAGAUAAUUGUCUAUCAAAAUCUGCUUCCUUUCAAUUCUGCGUACAUUUGAAUGUAUAUAAAUAUUAAUAUAAUGUUCAAUUUAAUCCAUCAAAUUUUCUGCUUUCAUUCUUCAACCUUUCAUUUUUAAUUCAUUUUAGCUCCAAACUUCUCUAUCUUCACACCAAUUUAAUCCUACAAAUAAAAUAUACUAUUAAGUACAAUCCACAAAAAUUCAUGCCCAAAAAUAACAAAUAAAAAUAAUAAAUGUGAGGCAAAUAAUGAUUUAAAAUAUGUAAUUUUGCCUCACAUCAUAUAGUAUGUGUGGAAAGCUCUCAAAUUGUGUUCAACUUAACUGAAGUAUAUGGGCUUCAUACGAUGGAGGAUAGGAAAAUGCUAUGGCAGGAUCCCAGGGAGAUACAUAUGAAUCAACAAGGGGCUUGGCUAGCACUGGGAGAUUAUAAUGCUAUACUUGAUUCUGAAGACAGAAUAAUAGGAAAUCUAGUUAGAGAAAUGGAAAUUGUGGACUUUAAUGAAUUCCUACUUGAUAGUAGUAUAAUUGAAAUGCGAUCAAGGGGUAGAAGUUUCACUUGGACUAACAGACAUAUUUCUAGAAAGAUCGAUCGAGUUCUAGUCAAUGGGGAGUGGAUGUUAAUGUUCCCACAACUAGAAGUCCACGUUAUGGACCCAAAAUUUCCAGACCAUUCUCCACUUAGAGUCCAGAUUGCUAUGGAAAACUAUGAAUACCCAAAACCUUUCAGAUUCUUGAAUUGUAUUGUCGAUCAUGAAGAGUUUUUGGGGUUGUGCAGAGAGUGUGGCUUCAUAGUAGAAGAGAAGGGUAUAUGAAAAGUGUUUGGAAAAGUCUUAAAUUGAUAUCAACUUAACAUUCUAAGACAACAGUUGGAUGAUAUCCAAACCACCAUGAGACAUCCUGAACAUGAUCAUGAUAUUUUUAGACAGGAGAACACACCUCUACAUCUUUUCAUAUCUAUUGUCAGAGGAUUGCUGCUCAUAACUACUAGCUAUCCAUCUAGCCCACGAUAGCGAAGUCUCAAAAAAAAGAUUGGCAUUAAGCUAUAACUACAAAAAUGGGACAACAUUGUUGGGAGUAUCUUAAAGAAGAAAUCUAGAAUGACUUGGCUAAAAUUAGGAGAUGCAAAUAGAUCCUUUUUUUUGCUAGCAUAAAAUCUAGAAUAUCCCAUAACAAAAUUAAGAGUCUUACUACAUCUGCUGGUAUUGUCCUACUCACACAAGAUGAGGUCAAAAAUGAGAUAAUCAACUUCUACAGAGGUGUGCUGGGAACUGCAGCUACACACUUACCUACCGUAAAUCCAAUCCUAUGCUGGAUAGACAACAUCAAUUGAAACUCAUUGAAUUUGUUACUAAGAAAGAAAUCCUAAAUGCACUUAAAGGGAUAGAGGACUCAAAAGCACCAGGAUGUAAUGGUUACAACACUUAUUUCUUUAAGAAAGCAUAGAAUGUCAUAGGCGAGGAGGUCAAAAAUGCUAUCUUGGAAUACUUCUCAACUGAAAAAUGUUUAAGGACAUAAACUAAACAAUUAUAACACUGAUUCCUAAAGUCAAGAACCCAACUAAGGUCAUUAAAUACAGGCCAAUAUCAUGUUGUACUAUUCUCUAUAAUCCCAUCUCAAAGGUUUUAACUGCUAGGAUGAGAGUGACAAUGGAUGGGCUAGUGCAUGCUAGCAAAUCUGCGUUUGUUCCAGGGAGAGUGAUCACUGAUAACAUUAUCAUGAGCCAUGAUAUCAUCAAAUGGUACGGAAGGAAACAUAUAUCCCCUAGAUGCAUGAUGAAGAUCGACAUGAAGAAAGCUUAUGAUUCUAUUGAAUGACCUUUUCUAGAGCAGGUAUUGAAAAUUAUCAAUUUCCCACCUAUAUUUGUGAAUUGGAUUAUGACAUGUGUUACCAAAGUGUCUUACUCUAUACUCAUUAAUAGUGUGCCUACUGUCCCGUUCAAUGCAAAAAAGGACCUUAGACAGGGUGAUCCCUUAUCCCCUUAUCUCUUUGUGUUGUCUAUGGAAUACUUGAAUAGACAACUACCAACUUUGAAGAACCAACUUGAUUUUAACAUUUAUCCCAAGUGUGGGAAGUUGUCCAUCACACAUCUUGGCUUUGCUGACGACUUACUACUUUUCAGUAGAGGUGAUCUAACAUUUGUUCGUAUGAUCUAUGAAUAUUUUAAUGUAUUCUCUAAUGCAUUUGGUCUGGUAACAAACAUUGAGAAGAGCUCUAUUUAAUUUGGAGGUGUACCAAUGGCUGAGCAGGAAGCAAUAUUACAGAGUUUGGUAUUUGCCAAAGGUAUCCUUCAUUUCAAAUAUCUUGGCAUCCCUCUCACAUCAAAGAAGACAAUCAUUAUCCAAUAUAAAUCACUACUAGAUAAGAUGUUGGAUAGGAUAAAAUUCUGGACAUCUAGAUUUUUGUCAUAUGCAGGUCGGGUGCAAAUGAUCAAAAAAUAUCCUAUUUUCUAUCCAAGUAUUUUGGUCGCAAGUUUUCAUCCUUCCACAAAAGGUGAUCCAAGUGGCAAUAUCAUUGUGUAAAAAGUUAUUGUGGUCUGGUGGAGCUGACACUAUAAAGACAUCAAUAAUAGCACGAGAGAAAUUAUGCAAUCUAAAAGCAGCAAGGGGAAUGGGAUUCCUAGAUAUUACAGACUGGAAUAGAGCUGCAAUUUGCAAACAUCUAUGUAACUUUUUCUUGAAGAAAUAUAGACUAUGGAUCCAAUGGAUUCACGCAUAUUAUAUCAAAGGGGGCCGAUCUAGCAUACAAAUGCCCCCAAGCAUCUUGGAUGAUAAAGAAGAUUCUUAAGGCCAAUGAUAGUGUUAAAGCUACUGGAUAUAAUGAGUAGGAAGUGGUUGCUAUAAAUAAGUUGAGUACAAAGCUAAUAUACUCUUAGUUAAGGCGAACUUAUACCAAAGUACACUUGAGAAGAAUAGUAUGUAACAAUCAUGGUGCCCCAAAAUGGAAGUUUAUAUUGUUCUUAGUUACUUUAAGGAGAUUAUUGACCAGUGAUAGACUAGCCAAAUGGAACACUAUUACUGAUGGGGUUUGGACAUAAAUAUCGAAAAAUCAAGAUAUCAAACUGAACCAAAUUUUUUUGGUAUUUCACUUUUUGGUAUGUUUUUUUGUGUUUUCAGCAUUUUAGUUCGGUUUCAGUAUGUGUUUUUGUAUUUUUGGUUUAACCAAAAUAUACAUGUAUAUUUCACUUUUCAAUUGUAACACCCCAAAAAUUUCUAAGUUAAGACUCAAAUCAUUCUUCAUUUGUAAAUAAGAUUGUACCGGAUGAUUCUUAAAUUUCUCAUGUAUGUAAAGGUCAAUUAUUUAAUGUGGAAAUGAAUUUGGAUAUGAGUUAGGUCACUAGAAUCCCCUAGCACAAAGUUGGGUUGAACGCUUCUAUACCAAUUAAGUUUUGAUGUAAGAUUCUACUUGGGUCAACUUCAAACAACCAUAUCUCUUAGAAUAUAUAGGGUUACGUGGACCAUAAUCUAUUAUAUUAAAUGUAUUUGAAUAAUCUUUCCAACGCCACCAAUUUCACAACAAUCUAAGUUCUCAGUAAAAUGUUAUGACAAUUUUAGUAACCUGAUACAGUGAAGUGAUGAAUUAGCCGACGGGAAAACAUUAAAAAGGGUUGUUUUUGUCUUUUUACCUCUAAGAAAACCCUAAACGAAUUUCUUAACUAAUUAAAGGCCCAAAAAAUCAGAUUUUCAUCUCUUAAUCCCUCAUUUUCUUCUCUCUCACCCCUAAGGCAAAACCCUAAGGAAAGAUCAAAGUAGAAUACUUUCAUUCAAGAUUCUUUCAAUCUUUUUUAAGAUUCUUUCAAUAUUUUUCAAGAUUCUUUUUCAAGGUAAGUCCUUCUCCAAGAAUUUCAUUCUUUCCAAUUCAAAUUCUUCCAUACAAUUAUGAAUCACUAAUAAAAAUUAUAAUUCUUGGCCGUAGAGAUUUCAAGAAACUAAUUCAAGAAAGGAUUUUUUGAUUGUUCUCCUUCAAGCUAGAGUUUCAAGGCUUCUGAUCAAGUUCUUCUUCAAGAUUAUUCAAGAACCUUGUUCUUCCAGGUAUGUAAGGUUAUCAUAGUGUUGGACUAGUUCUUCUUUACGCCCUACAUCUACUUUCAAAUCAGUAAAAGAGUAAUCUAGAAUUUUAUCCCUAGAUUUGAGUAUUCUUGAGAUGAGAUGAUUUUGAGUUCUUGAGUUCCUGAUUCUUUUGAAAUUCUAUUCCUAAUUAUUGAAUUGCCAUUUGUUAGGCAUUAAGAUAUAUUUCAACAUGAACGCUAUGAAUUGAGUAUUCUUGAGAUGAGUAGUAUAAUUGAGUUUUGAGUUCUUUAUUUCUGAGUAUUGAGUUUUUCAUAUUAUUAUUGAGAUCAUUGAGUUGAUUUGUUCAUGUCUAUAUUUCAGAAUGAACCCUAUUUUAAGUUAAAAAUUUUGAGAAUCUUUUAAAAUAGAUAUUUAUGCCUUAUACUGAUUUUCUGAGAAAAUAAAGAUGAGUUUUGAGAAAGAGUUUUAAUCUUGUUCUGGCAGGGUGGGCGAGACGUUGUAUCAUCACGUAGCUCAUAGUGAUGGUUAUCGGUAAGAGAAUCUACCAAAUAGAGUUAAAAGAGUAUUUUUAUUAUAUCACUUAUUAUGCUAAGUUCAAAAAUAAGUAAGUAUUUUUGUAAACUUUUAAUAAUUUCACCUCUUUAUUUCUUUACAUUUAGUUGAGUAUAUGUCUAUAUCUAUUGCACUCCUUUCAUUUAGUUAUUUGUUAUCCAGCUUGUUACGACCCGAUUUCAAAAACUAAAGGUUUCGAAACCAUUUCAUAACUUUUGCAAGUUUAUUGAUUUUUGGGAAAAAUAACAAUUUGGAAGUCGCCACUUAAUUUUUAGGAAAAAUUAAGAAUAAUAGGGGAAUAUUUGAAAGAAAACAUUUUAAAUAAAAUCAGACUCAGGUAAGGGUUCAAAUAAUUCUCUAAGGAGGGGUUUAGGCAUCUUAGAGAAUUUGCUAACACGCGAUUGACCGAUGGAUUUAAAAGCUUGGCUAAUUUUAUUAAAAAAAAAGGGUUACUUAUAAAAAUAUCUUGAUACUUCUAAAAAUCUCAAGAAUAAUCUUAACUUAAAACUUUUAUCCAUAGUCAUGUUUUGAACCAUACAAUUAAUUCAAACUCAUAAACAUGGAUUAAAGGACCUUGUUUAACAACUAUGAAAGGAUAUUAAGGAUCCUUAAGUCAUUCAUACAAAGUACUAAGUUAAAUUAAAGGACAACUAAUUUAUCUUAAGAAACUUAACAAUUUUAUCCUAUUCAAAAAUUUGAACUAAAUAGUUAGUUCAAACUCAUAAACAUGGAUUCAAAGCUUUUCAAUAACUAUGAAAGAACAUGAAAGGUUCUUUAAGUCAUUCUAUAAGCUUAAAUUACCUAACUUAAAAUGGGUUUUGGGAUUUGAAAACUUGAAUAACAAAAUAAAAAAUAUUUCUCCCAAAGAUUCAUCUAAAUUAACAAAAUAAAUGUUAGAAAUUAAUGAUAUACCGUGAGUUUACGGUAUUGUUAAUACAUUUCACUUGAGAGUUGUGUGUGUCUAGGGCCAUUCUGUAUUAGUUCUUAUGUGUUUUCUCAUGUUUUCAGGAAUAAGUUCAGAUGCGGAGAUUUGAAGACACAGCUGAAAGACGUGCAAAAACAGCAUCUACGGAGGAAACCUACAAACAAUAGGUCCAGUUACGCCCCGUAAAUGAUGGACGUCGAUGGGCAGGCAAGGCAUGGCUGAAGAUCAGGAAAUUCUCGACCAAGUGUAGAACCACGGUUGCAACUUACGAACCGUAGAUUGAUCUACGGACCGUACUGUUGCUCCGUAAAAUGUGACAGAAAUUUGGUUCCAGCACCUGAUGCUGAAAAGUCUAAGUAUGGAGCUACGGAGAGGAGUUACGGACCAAAGAUUAACUUACGGUCCGUACUGUUGAACCGUCGAAUAUAACAGAAGUUUGGAAGAUUUUGAAGAUUGAAAAAUUGCCCAAGUCCUGAGCCACGGAAAGGACCUACGGACCGUAGAUAGACUUACGGACCAUAGGUCAGUGUCGUAGAUUAAAGACGCAUCAUGUAAACUUUAUUUCCUUAUUUCGUUUCCUUUUUAGUUAGGACUUGUUUUCCUAUAAAUAGGGUACGUAAACCUCGUUUUUGGGGUUAGACUUUAUUACUUUUAUUCUAGUUCUUGACUUGGGAGAUCAACUUGCAACUUUAGCAAUACUUAAUUUUCUAAGUUCGUUUUGAAGAUUUUGGUGUUGAAAUUCAAGUUGAAGUCUGGGUUUAUUAUUCUUGUUACGUAAGUUCAUGAUUUCUUCUUCUAAAACUAUGAAUCGUGUUCUUGCUAAUACGGGUAACUAAAUCCACAACUAGGGUUGUGGAACCAUGAGCGAUUAACAAAGUGUUGUUGCAUGCAUUAGUAAUUCUUUCGUUUAGAAGUCUUUUUAACGAGAGCAUGUGUUAAAACUCGCCUUGUUGCUACUUGCCGGACCAAGGAGGUAGUUAAUAAGAAAAGAAUUAUCAACAUAGAUUUAGUGUGAUACUAUCUAAUAGAAUUAAUGUCGAUUGGUGCGAGGGUGAAAACUAAGUCAUACAUCGAUGUGACGUCUAAUAUGAGGUAAUGGUAAGGGUUAGUAAAUGAUACACACGUAGCCGGACCAAGGUGCGGGGUGAAAUUCUCUAGAUGCCGGGCCAAGGAUUUAGAUACACAUAACUUAUUGUUUUGCAUGUAAUACACUAGGAAGAGAUUGCUAUUACUAGGAUUACAGAGUUAUGAGCUUAUGGGGAACACGUACUCCCUAGUUUCUUUCUCAAUUUGAUAACAACAAAAGUUUAAAUCUUGCUUACUAAUUACUUUCAUAACUUCCAAAAUUUGUUACACAAAUCCCCCCCCCCUUUUACUUAUUUGUCUCGGAAAUACAUUUGCUAAACGAAUAUAAUCGUUAUUGAACUUAAGUAUAAAUCAUAUUCCUCGUGAAAUUGACCCCAACCUACAAGUUGGGUUCUUUACGUGAUAACGAUCGCUUAUGCUUCUGAAAAGAGGUGUAAUUUGAGCGUAUCAAUUAACGGCAAUUAUCACAAAAUCACAAUAUAAGAAGAAUAAAAGGGCGAAUAGAACUUGGACAAUUUUAAGUACACUUACUGCUUCUUAUUUGCUGCUGCUGGUGCUAAAAUGAUAUUUCCAGCCUUUUGAGACUACUGAAACUGGUGCAAAAACCAAGUGUUCUAAUUUCGGCCAAUUUGAACCGAAAACACUCUCAUUUCAGCUCUUUUGUGCCCCUGUUGCUGCUUCUGAUUUUGGGUUUUUAACCCAAUUUCGCUUCUCAUUUCUCAGCCUUUCAAGGCUGCUGUAGUGGCUGGCUCUUAGGUUUUAUCCCAGUAAUAUUAACCUCCUUUCAAUUGGCUUAAAGGAGGUUGACUCGAGGAGAGGAGUAUGCAAGAAUAGGAGUCCAAUUGGACUCAAACGAGAGAGUUCAUGCCAAGGAAAAAAGGGAAAAAGAUUAACAACAUUUGAAUGAUAUCAACUUGAGCUUAAAACAAACAAUGUCAUGUGAGCUCAAAACUCUAAUUGGCAUGUUUAUCAUGGCUAAAAUUAUACCAAACUUAACCAUAUACUACUAUCGAUCACAGAAAAAAUAAAGAUAAAGCAAAUAUAAAUUAGAGAAAAGAACUAUAUCAAGUAAAUAUGAACUUACUGCUUAAGGAAACAAGCUGAUGUCAACAUGAAUUAAUUUAAGACAUGACACAGAUAGCCAUAUUCAAACACAGCAAUAAAGAAAAAACUACCAAGAGCAAGCAAAACUCUAUCUAGAGUUACUGAACCAGAAUUACAACAAAGAACAUCUAAGGGCAAUCAAGGGUAGCACUUGAAGAUUUACGGCAGUUGAGGUUAGAUUAACUACAAACAGUAAAGAAAAGAGUGGUAUAUUUGCACCUAAAAUCAGUAAAUGAACACGAGAACAUAUUUAUAAUAUUGUCAAAAUUAUUUGAACACCACAUAAUUUCAUAAGCAAUUUAGAAUCUGUGUAUAAAAUAACAUUUCCAAGAUGGAGGCACUUAACAACAAUAGGCAGCCACAACUUAAUUAUGACAACAACUAAACAGAGGUUUCUUACUCCUACUUUAACACAACCUUUGAUCAAACCAAAAAGGAGUUUGAAACAGAUUCAAGUAUAGUUUAAAGAUAAACAACUUUAGACUCAACUUGAUCAAGUUUUAAGCCAAUUCAUUUAGCAUAUACGAAAGGCAAACAAGAAAGAGCAAGGAGAUAUAAAAUAACUUAGAGAAUUUAAACAAGGAUCUAAGUAGAGUAAUCUAAUAAAUUUUAGGACGUAUAAAAGCUAUGAUAUGAGCUUUCAUCCAUCCCAGCCUAACUCUUUGGAGAGUGUUAAAGAGCAGCCCCAAAGGUAAGCAAUUUCUCACUCAGACAGGCUCUCGAUUGGCAUUGAAAGCCAAUGGUCUGUUAUUUGACAAAUCACACCAACAGAUUUUACAAAAUAGACAGACAUAGAUGACAUUCAACAACGAAUACAGGCUUCAAAGAAAAAAAAACAGAAGAUGAAAACCUUAAAACUGAUAAAACUAAACUCCAUAUUUCAGAUUUUCAUUACCACUUAGAUAGGUUAAUCAAUCAAGAUAAACUAGAUACUUCAAAAGCCUUUCCAAAUCAAAAUGAAUUCAAGUUACAAAAUCCAACCUAAUAGCUAGGAAUGCUUGAACAUGAAAAUCACAACUCUAACUCUAUUCAACACUAAUUAAACUUAUCCCAAGACAAUAGCAAAUGCUGAAAUUAAGGCAUGACUAUCCUACAUAUAAAUUAACCGAGUUCAAAGAUGAGCAAUUUUGCUAUUUUUUUUAAUCUAUUAGAAAAAUACUUAAACAGCUAAUGCCAAACACAUUUCAAUGAACAAGACAUAAUUAAGAGCCAACAUAAAUGUUGAAAUAAAGAGAAGAUUACCUGGUUGUGGGCAGCGAACCGGACGAUGAGUUUGACGGAGACGGUUCCACUACCUCUUUCAACUCGAAUGAUCACAAAAGCCACAAAACUUUAAACUAUUGAGCCGAGAAUUCCCAAACCCUUUUGGGGUACUCUCAAUCUCCAAAAACCGUCCCUUUGAACAGUGAAUGGGGUUGGUUUAUAUAAAAACCAAAAAAAAUUCCAAAAUGGAAGAAAUCUCGAUAUGGGACUGUUGCAAAUUGAAAAUCGUUUGAGAAACGAUGUGGGUGAGGCCGAAAUCUCCAAUUUUCGCAGUGGAUAAGGUGUAUGAGCUGGGGAGUGUACGAAUUUGAAAUGAAAAUGAAGAGAAAAAGGAAAUUGGAAUGGACCACACCAUGGUUGCCUCCGGAAGCUCCGAGUGUCUUUAGGCUCGUGCUAAGCACGCAGAUUGUACGAAUAUGAAGUAAAAAAGGGGAAAUUUAAGGCGGCAAAUUUGGGAAUGGGUUCGUUCUUUGGUUUGUUCUGUUCUCGCGUCUCUGUAUUGAGAAUGAGAAGGAGAAGAGCAUGGAGGAUUUUGGGCUUAAGAAUGGGCCGG